GCCACUGCUAUUGGGGUUCGGCUAAGCCAUGCGAGUGGAGGGCGUCCCGCAAGGGGUGGCCCCGCAGACGGCUCAGUAACACGUCGUCAACCUACCUUAGAGUGGGGGACAACCUCGGGAAACUGAGGAUAAUCCCCCAUAGGCGGGGGAGGCUGGAAUGCGCCCCCGCUGAAAGCUCAGGCGCCCUAGGACGGGACGGCGGCCUAUCAGGUAGUUGGUGGUGUGACG
rnacentral:rRNA from 1 species